rnacentral:lncRNA from 1 species
GUAACACACACAUUUAUACACACACACACCACCACGCAACACACUGCUACUUCCCCACAGUCAGCAAGGUAAACAACAAGGUAACACACACAUUUAUACACACACACACACCAUCACACAACACACUGCUACUUCCCCACAGUCAUCAAGGUAAACAACAAGGUAACACACACACACACCAUCACACAACACACUGCUACUUCCCCACAGUCAGCAAGGUAAACAACAAGGUAACACACACACACACCAUCACACAACACAGGUAUACACAAGGUAUCACAUACACAUGGUUAGCAGAUGUUAUUGCGAGUGUAGUGAAAUGCUUAUGCUUCUAGAUCUGGCAGUGCAGCAGUAUCUAACAGGUAAUAUCUAACAAGUCCACAACUAAACAUAAUACACACAGUCUAGUAAAGGAAUAAGAAUAUAUAAGUAUAAAAUAUAUGGAUGAGCAGUGACAGAGCGGCUAAGAUGCAAUAGAGAGUAUAGAAUAGAUAGUGUAGGAUACAGUAUACAUUAUAUACAUAUGAGAUGAGUAAUGCGAGAUAUGUAAACAUUCUUAAAGUGGCAUUAUUAAUGUGACAAGUGUUCCGUUUAUUAAAGUGGCCAAUGAUAUCAAGUCUGUAGGUAGGCAGCCACCUCUCUGUGUUAGUGAUGGCUGUUUAACGAUCUGAUGGCCUUGAGAUAGAAGCUGUUUUUCCAUCUCUCGGUCCCAGCUUUGAUGCACCUGUACUGACCUCACUUUCUGGAUGUUAGCGGGGUGAACAGGCAGUGGCUCGGGUGGUUGCUGUUUGCUGAAGUCCACGAUCAUCUCUUUUGUUUUGCUGACAUUGAGUGUG